rnacentral:rRNA from 1 species
UACGUAGGGGGCGAGCGUUAUCCGGAAUUACUGGGCGUAAAGCGCACGCAGGCGGUUCGCCCAGUUUGGCGUGACAGUUGUCGGCUCAACCGACAAAGGACUUCAAAAACUGGUGAACUUGAGGACGAGAGAGGAACAUGGAACUCCAGGUGUAGUAGUGAAAUGCGUAGAUAUCUGGAAGAACACCAAUGGCGAAGGCAAUGUUCUGGCUCGUUUCUGACGCUCAGGUGCGAAAGCCAGGGGAGCGAACGGG